GCCACUAGAGGUGACACCAUAGAAGUAGGCGGCGCAAGGAAGAAAAGGGGGUCUUGUUGCUGUAAUUUGGAGCAUUUGGUGCUCGAAUUAGGGGCGUUUGCAAGUUAUUUCUCAUCCCCAAUCAUCUAUAUUAGUGGAUUCCGGUUUCAUUGAGGAGCCGUAUUGACUGAGCUAGUUGGUUUGAUAUAGUUUAAAAGGUACAUGAAGGCUUAGAGUCGGGGUAUGGGCGGAGAGCAACGUCCACUAGUUUUGCGUAAAUAUAAUUAUAAUAGUUCUGUUCUGGUGCAUUUCUUAUAUAUAAUCAAUAUUUUGAGACUUAGGGUUGUAAAUAUUAAUCCACC